rnacentral:rRNA from 1 species
AGAGUUUGAUCCUGGCUCAGGACGAACGCUGGCGGCGUGCUUAACACAUGCAAGUCGAACGGUAAGGCUCUUCGGAGUACACGAGUGGCGAACGGGUGAGUAACACGUGAGCAACCUACCCUUGACUCUGGGAUAACAGUUGGAAACAGCUGCUAAUACCGGAUACUACCUCGAUCGACAUCGAUUGAGGUGGAAAGCUCCGGCGGUCAUGGAUGGGCUCGCGGCCUAUCAGUUUGUUGGUGAGGUAACGGCUCACCAAGGCUUCGACGGGUAGCCGGCCUGAGAGGGCGACCGGCCACACUGGGACUGAGAUACGGCCAGACUCCUACGGGAGGCAGCAGUGGGGAAUAUUGCGCAAUGGGCGAAAGCCUGACGCAGCAACGCCGCGUGCGGGAUGACGGCCUUCGGGUUGUAAACCGCUUUCAGCAGGGACGAAGCAACACGUGACGGUACCUGCAGAAGAAGCACCGGCCAACUACGUGCCAGCAGCCGCGGUGAUACGUAGGGUGCGAGCGUUGUCCGGAAUUAUUGGGCGUAAAGAGCUUGUAGGCGGUCUGUCACGUCGAAAGUGAAAACUCAGGGCUCAACCCUGAGCCUGCUCUCGAUACGGGCAGACUAGAGGAAUGUAGGGGAGAACGGAAUUCUUGGUGGAGCGGUGGAAUGCGCAGAUAUCAGGAGGAACGCCGGUGGCGAAGGCGGUUCUCCGGACAUUUCCUGACGCUGAGAAGCGAAAGCGUGGGUAGCAAACAGGCUUAGAUACCCUGGUAG